GGUGACCUGUAGGGAAGUUUAAAGAGUAUUCUUGUAUUUUCUUUAAUGGCUAAACAGAGGAUUAAAAUGGGGGAAAAUCUUAAAUCCAGACCUUACCAUGGUAUAGAGAGGGAUAAAAGUAGAUGGCAUAAUACAAUGAAGAACUCUCUCUAUGUUCUUUUGAAAAAUGAACCACCUUGAGUUGACAUGUGCUCGCAUCUGCAACAGUGUAAGAGAACUUUUAAAAGAGUAUCUUGAACAAAAUACAGGUACCUCUGUUUACUUUGUACAAUUUAUUAUUAUUCUGCAUUCCCACUUAUAACAAUGUUAAAUACAAGGUCUAAUUCUUAUUUCCGUAAGGGUUGUUUCAAAUCCCUUUUAGAAAUGUCAAUAAAACAGGAUAGUAUCUUGAAAAAUGUAUAGCAAAUACACAAAACCUGUUAGGGAGGUCUAUUUUAUUCAGAGGUCAUUAUAAGAACUGUAUUUCAGCAAAGGGUUUGUUCAACCAUAUCUAUGAAUAAUCUGUGAGCCCACAGAUUUGACCAAUUGCUAUUGUGUCUUGUUUAGGUUGUAAUACUGUUUAUGGCAACAAGGGAUUAUUUGAAGCUGUGGCUGUCUUGACCUGCUAAUUACUCAGGACAAGUAAUAUCUUGUUGCUGUCCUGUCUUAAGUACUCAGACUAGAUACAUCACUAAAGCAUUUUAGUUAUCUUCUGUUUACCCUGAACUCAUUUUUAUUUCUUUAUAUCUUCAGGAGAGAGCAAAAACAGUGUGUCGCUUUCUUUCUUAAAUUUAUCUUGUGAAUUUUUUUGUUGUUGCUUAAAAACUAUAACUAUAACCACUAUCAUGAGCUUUCCAUAUGACUGACUCAAAACAGAAUUAAUGGAUUUUUGAAAGUACAAAUUUUUUUUUAUAUUGUACCGUUUUUCCAUUGCAUAAAGCUCCAAGGGAUAUUCUAAAUUUGCAGAGUUAAAAUGUUAGAUGGAAAGGUCAUUCAGCAUUUCUUAGAUUUCCUAAAUAUGUCAACACAUCCACUAACAUAGCAUAAUACUAACUCUACUAUUCAGUAUUUGAUCCUGUGAACUAUCAGUGAUUUUGUAAUUGCCAUUACUUUAAAAUGCUCCUAAAGUAUAGGAACAUGUGUGUGUGUGUGUGUGUGUGUGUGUUUAUAUCUAUUCUUAAGCAGCAUGUGUAAGAUGGGGAUAGAGCAAAGAAAAAGAAAAUCAAAAGAACAUUUUCAAGGUAUCUAUGAAUCACCUCAUGGGAUGGAGCUGAAACUUCUCACUCACCUCUAUGUAAUUAUACAUGGAUAGGUCCGAAAUUGCAUGGUCAUCUGGAAUUCUAAAUCUUGAGAAUUCAGGAAGACAUAUACCUGGAAACCAAGUUAAAUAAUAUAUUGUUCCAAAAGUCUAUAAAAAUGUGCUGGGCUGUACACAGUUCAAACUAUAUAUUCUUUUUUUUUAAAAAAAGAUUUAUUUAUUUAUUUUAAAGUCAGAGUUACACAGAGAGAGGAGAGGCAGAGAGAGAGAGAGAGAGAGAGAGAGAGAGAAAGGUCUUCCAUCUGAUGAUUCACUCCCUAGAUGGCCGCAACGGCCAGAGCUAUGCCUAUCUGAAGCCAGGAGCCAGGAGGCCAUCUUCUACUGCUUUCCCAGGCCAUAGCAGAGAGCUGGACAGGAAGUGGAGCAGCCGGGUCUCGAACCAGCACCCAUAUGGGAUGCCGGCGCUUCAGGGCAGGGCAUUAACCCAUUGUGCCACUGCGCCAGCCCCCAAACUAUAUAUUCAAUACCCAUGUUCUCUCUAAUCUUUUCAAACUAUAGGUACCCAUUCUGCAUGACCAACAAUCUAUAACUUUUGAGCAAUGCACAGGGUAUUUCCUGUUGUGAUUAAAUAAAACUUAAAGUUAAUAUACUAUAUAAUUAUUAAUAAAACAUUAUUUGUCUUUAUUCAUAAGUGUGAAACAGUUCACAUCAAUGAUACUCAAUGACCUGUAGCCCCUCUUUGAGUCUGCUUCUCUCUUUUCUAUGCUCCUUUGGUAUCCCAUGCACAUUUGUUUCAUUGUAUCUAAAACAUAUUAUUAGCUUAGAUAUCAGCUUCCCCUAGAGGACACCUUUCAUGUUUUAUUCAUGCUGGUAGUAGUAAAUAUUGAAUAAAUGUUUGACAGAUGAAUGACUAACUUGCAUUGCUUUCACACAAUGAUCGAUUAGUUGUCAUGAGGCCUUUUCUGAAGUUAAAAAUCCUGAAUUCAAGUUCCAGCUUCAUCACUCUGAGGCUGCAUGAUUUGGGGUAAAUUAUUUAAUAUAUUUCUGAGCUUGAAUUCCCCAUUUGAAAAUGAUGACAGAAUAUUAUUAUGUUCCGUGUUUCUUGUGGGACCAAAUGAGACAACACAUUUUUUUAAAAAGGAAGAUACUAAUGCGUAUUAAAUGUUCAGUAUGUUACUAAUGAUUAUUAUUGAUUUGUCUUCAUUUUCUAGUACUCAAAAACCAGUGUUGACAGUAUGCUCUGAUAUCUGUAUGAACCCUCUCACCACCCUUUUCAUAGUCAGGCUAAAAAGGGAGGAAACGAUGCCUCUGGAUCCUGAGCAUCUAAGUGAGAUGGGGAAAGAAAGGAACAGGAGGAGGAGGAGGAGGAGGAGGAGGAGAAAUUUACUCUGAAACACCCCCACUCUCUUCAGAUCUACUCUCCAAUGUCCACUGACUUUCAUUAACGCCAAAGCCUACACGUACUUUGAGGUGAAAAAGGACUGAGGUUUUAGAAAGAUGAAGUGACUUACUGAAGAUCACACAGCUAAGAGGGUUACCAUCAUCUUUGGGAUUUGAGUUUCAUCAUAUGAUUUUGGGCCUUAUCUGUUACCAAAACUAGAAUAAAGUACAUACUCUUUGUUUUGAAUUUGGAGUAACUCAAGCCUACAGAGCAAAAGGCACAUUUGUCCAUCUGGAAACUUACGCUCCAAUUAGAGGGAUGGAAUCUGGAAAGUGCUUCUGGAAGAAGUCCAGCACAUCACUACCGGUUAGAAGUUUCUCAAAUUCUUCAAAGGGCAUGAACAAAGUGCAUGUGAAAGAUUUGUUCUGCGAGAAGAGAAACAGUGUGAGAGAAUAAGGAGCCAGGCCAGGCCAGCACUAAAAGUGGAGCCCUAAAUUACAGGACUUCCUGCUGGGAUCUUAGACUUUCUGGAAGAAAAAUCCAAAUAGAUAGGAAAGGCACUAUGAGCUUGUCCCCUCUCUCACAAAGAAAACCUCUGCCAAGCCCCGGGGUGGUCCCCAGCUUCCUUGGUUAUUAGAGAAACUUCUACACGGUACACUCUCUAUUUUCAGCAAGCGAAUACUGCACUCCUUACAUUACUAACAGGAUCAUUGGAUUUGAUUUCUCCUCUUUCGUUUUCUUCCUUUUAAGAAAGGAUUAAUAUAAAUUGGACCCCAGAAGCACAAAAACCAACCAGAGAAACAAACAAGUAAGAAGAAAACUCUCCAGCAUGCAGAGAAAAGCAAUGCCCUUCUUUGAUAACAUUCCAGUGUCCUACAACCCUUAAAGACUGAACUAACUUCCUAUCAUAUAGCCUAAAGGUCUUUGGCUUUCUUAGUUGGAGGAGAGGGGCAUUUCUUCUAGCACUUUUUUUGAGGUUGUUGUUGUUAUUUGAAAGAAUUACAGAGAAAGAGGGAGAGGGAUUGGGAGAUGGAGAGACAGAGAGAGACAGAAUCUUCCAUGAAAGACAGAGCUACAGAGAGAGAGAAGUCUUCCAUCCACUGGUUCACUUCCCCAAAUGGCCUCAAUGGCGAGGGUUGGGCCAAGCUGAAGCUAGAAGCCAGGAGCUUCUUCCAGGUCUCCCCCUUGGAUUCAGGGGCCAAUUACUUGAGCCAUUCUCCACUGCUUUCCCAGGCACACUAGCAGAGAACUGAAUCCAAAGUGGAGCAGCCGGGUCUUGAACUGGAGCUCAUAUAGGAUGCUGGUGCCACACCUGCUACCCCACGCUGCCUGCCCCUCCAGCAUUAUCUUUACCGGAACUGACUAGCACCACCACAUAUAAACUCCCAUUAUUCGUUCGGGUAAAUCCAAUCUGCUUUUUAAAGUAAAUAAUUGGAUUCCUUCAAAAUCCCAGAGUUUCAAAGAUUUAAAAGUGAAUAGAUUGGGGCAGUGUUGUGCCUUCAUGGGUAAAGCCACCACCUGCAGUGCCAGCAUUCCAUAUGGGCACCAGUUCUAGUCCCAGCUGUUCCACUUCCCAAUCAGCUCCAUGCUAACGUACCUGGAAAAGCAGUGGAGGAUGGCCUCCAGGCACCCACAUGGGAGACUGUAAGGAAGCUCCUGUCUCCUGGCUAUGGCUGGCUGUUGUAGCCAUUUGGGGAGUGAACCAGCAGAUGAAGGAUCUAUCUGUCUCUCCCUCUCUCUUUGUAACUCUGCCUUUCAAAUAAAAUAAAUCUUAAAAAAAAGAAAUUAAAAAAAUUCUACACACACUAAGUAAAAAAUGUACAGAAUGGAAAACACUAAUUACAGAUGCAAAAUUACAGUUGAUAAAAAGCUUUAUACUACCAUGUUAGGAAGUGCAAUCAUCAUAAAGGUAUUUCUAGGCCAAAUAUGCAGAUAAUUAGGUUCCAUGGCAUA